rnacentral:rRNA from 1 species
UACGUAGGUGGCAAGCGUUGUCCGGAUUUACUGGGCGUAAAGAGCGCGCAGGCGGUCGUUCAAGUCGCGUGUGAAAGCCCCCGGCUCAACUGGGGAGGGUCACGCGAUACUGAUCGACUCGAAGGCAGGAGAGGGUAGUGGAAUUCCCGGUGUAGUGGUGAAAUGCGUAGAUAUCGGGAGGAACACCAGAGGCGAAGGCGGCUACCUGGACAAUUGCUGACGCUCAGGCACGAAAGCGUGGGGAGCAAAAGGG